rnacentral:rRNA from 1 species
AUGUUCCAGAAUUACCAGAAUGGAGAGCAAUCUUACAUUCAUAUUGGCUGUUCGACACACUGUUUGUCCAUCUCUUGUGACCAUGAAUAUGAUGAUUCCACUGUUUCCUGCAUUCGCAUGGAUAGAUACUUCCAGUUGAAGUACAACAGUAGAAAGGUGCGUGCUCUGUACCUAGAUGUGAGUUGUUGCAGUCGUCUCCCGCGUGUUUUCCUGUAA